AGCACUUGAAUGUUGUUUUGGUCAAUUUGGCAGACAAAGUCAUAGCAGACAAUUGAAGGACUAAAUUCUCUUUUGUGAUCCUGAACUUAUUGUUCAGGCUGAGUUUUGAUACAUAUGAAAAAGGGGUAUG